rnacentral:rRNA from 1 species
AAUAUUUCACCAUGGAGGGAACUCUGAUGCAGCAACGCCUCGUGAGGGAAGAAGGUUUUCGGAGCGUAAAACUCUGUCAUUCGGGAAGAAUAAAUGACGGUACCCAAUGGGGAAGCCCCGGCGAACUACGUGCCAGCAGCCGCGGUAAGACGUAGGGGGCGAGCGUUGUCCGGAAUUACUGGGCGUAAAGGGUACGUAGGCGGGUAGAUCAGUCCGGUGGGGAAUACCAGGGCUUUACACUGGAAUUGCAUUUGGAACAGUGUAGCUUGAGUGCAGGAGAGGAAAGUGGGAUUCCGAGUGUAGCGGGGAAAUGCGUAGAGAUUAGGAGGAACACCAGUGGCGAAGGCGACUUUCUGGACUGUAAAUGACGCUGAGGUACGAAAGCGUGGGUAGCGAACA